GGCCUUGUGGUGUAAUGGGAACACACUAUGCUGAACUAACACCCAUCAUUGGGAAAGUGAUACAUAGAGACUUGCGUUCAAUUCGCAACUGGGCCA